rnacentral:misc_RNA from 1 species
AUCUAAAAUUUCAAUUGGCAGGUAUUACUUCUGAUAAAUUAAGCCAAGAAAAUUCUGCAGAGGAAGUAUCAGUUACUGAUAAUAUUUAAAUUUUGAGUAGCAAGAACUGCAGAAGAUAUGCAUUAAAUUCUGAAAGAGUUUCCCUCUAACAUGAGCAUAGAGGUCAAUUUAUGUUACUCAGGUGUAAACUCUGGAAAAGCAACAUCUAACAAAGUUCAUUGAAGCUUCUUUGAUCUCAAGCAGUUACAUUAUUAGUGAUGUCCUGAAAGGUUUCAUCUUUUUUUAGGGAAUUGAUUAUAAACCUUUAAGGAUUAGCACAUAAACAGAAAGUUACAUGCAAAUGCCCACAUACCAAAAUUUCGAGUUUUGUCCAUAUAAACUGUGAAAUCCAAAGCAUGUGUAGUGUGCAAGGCAAAUUCAAUCUAAGCGUGUGCGAUUGUGGUUAUAUGAUGUGGCAUUGUUAUUUGCUUAUUUAAUGUGUGGCAUGAAUUUUGGAUACAUCUUUUCAUGGAUGCAAAUUGUGAUUUCGCGUUGCGACCCAAUUGGAAUAUAGGGUGAGGCAUUGUGUGUGUGUUAGAUUUACAUAACUGCAGUAUUUAUGGAUUGAUUGGGUCACAAUAUGCACAGUGGAACCCACAUAUUUGUGUGCUAGAUUUGGUGCACAUCCGGUCAAGUCAACAAUGCCAAAAUUAAAGUCUUCAUUCUAGACUACUA